GAACAGCGCUGCAAGAUGCAGCUCUCGAAAAGUGCCAUCACAAGAGCCAAGUUUGUUGCAGAUGAUAAUCUGAAGCAAAACAUCACCUAUACUGCACGUGUGAGGCAGCCACAUAAUCAUCAGUAUGUAAUGAAAAAAGAUAGAAGUUCCAGGUGUUCA